rnacentral:misc_RNA from 1 species
AAAUUCUUCCUGAGUCGUGAGGUGAGUCUGAUGGUUUAUUGCUCAAAAUCAAUUGGUACAACUUUUGGGUGUCACUUAUUGAGAUUGGUAGCUAACGUACUGGUUCUGGGAUUUGCCAAUGUGUUGGGGUCAAGACCUGCUUCCAUUGAGGUUGUGGAAAGGAUUAGUGUAGACAACCAUCCUUCCAUAUACCCUGCGGUUUAUUUAUAUAGUUGCCAUCAUUCUGUAUUGGAGUUUCCAAGUUGUCUUACACAUGCAGGUUAAUAUAGCUUUUAUGCAUCUCAUCAAGGCUGUACUACAAUCUUAAUUGAGAACAUCUAUAUGUUCCUGUAAGGCUGUACCUUCCGAACGUUGAUGUUGCUUAGUUAUGCACAGGUUAUUAAUAUAUCUGCAAACCUGGUUGAAUUUUCUGAUUUCAAAGUGUCGUCUCUUGUUAGAGGCCAACACUUUUACUAUGCUUCUGUGGAUGGUGGUAUAGUUGAGGAAUUUCUUGCAAAAUAAAAAUUUGCGGAGACUUUUAUCAUCUACCCACAUUGGAUGCCUAUGUUCCAAAUUGGUUUCCCACAUUAUUUUCAAGUGUCAAAGAAUCUUCAUUUUCAUCUUAUUGGCUGGUAGUUGAUUUAAAAUUAGUUUGAGCAGAUGGCUUUCUGACAAUGUCAUAGUCAUUUCAUGUGAUUGAUUAA